UACAGAGGGUGCAAGCGUUGUUCGGAAUUAUUGGGCGUAAAGGGCGCGUAGGCGGUGCGGUAAGUCUGUAGUGAAAUCUCUGGGCUCAACUCAGAGUCUGCUAUAGAGACUGCCGUGCUUGAGUGUGGGAGAGGUGAGUGGAAUUCCCAGCGUAGCGGUGAAAUGCGUAGAUAUCGGGAGGAACACCUGUGGCGAAAGCGGCUCACUGGACCACAACUGACGCUGAGGCGCGAAAGCUAGGGGAGCAAACAGG
rnacentral:rRNA from 1 species